UACGUAGGGUGCAAGCGUUGUCCGGAAUUAUUGGGCGUAAAGAGCUCGUAGGCGGUCUGUCGCGUCUGCUGUGAAAACUCAGGGCUUAACCCUGAGCUUGCAGUGGGUACGGGCAGACUAGAGUGCGGUAGGGGAGAUUGGAAUUCCUGGUGUAGCGGUGGAAUGCGCAGAUAUCAGGAGGAACACCGGUGGCGAAGGCGGGUCUCUGGGCCGAUACUGACGCUGAGGAGCGAAAGCGUGGGGAGCGAACAGG
rnacentral:rRNA from 1 species